CCGCGAGCCCAGUGUGCUUGCGCUUGCGCUUGCCCCGCACUCAGUCGCCCCCUCCACGAGUGCACACUCCACUCACGCGGGAUGCGCAGGACGCCGACAAGCAGGCGUCCACAGUGGGUCUGCAGGGACGCAUCGCAUGGGCAGGCCUGGUGGGUGUAGGUGUGCAGGAGUUCGUGGACAUGCGUGUGCACGAUCCCGCGUGGAAGGCACGGUGGACAUGCGUGUGCACAAUCCCGCGUGAAAUGCAAAGCUCAACAAGAAGACCUUCCUGUCUCUGGGCCUCGGUUUCUCCGGCUGUGAAAUGGAAGGAUAGUUUCUUAGGGUAUAUGGGCAUCACCUCCCCACCUGUGCAGUUCUAAUCCCACCAACCCUGGCUGUUUCUGGAGCUUCCUGCAGGCAAUGGUCUGAGCCAUAGGAGAACUCAAAUGAUGGAAAAUCACAGGUGGGGUGUAGGACUCCCCACACUCCCAUGAACCCCUUCAGGCAUGGAAGGACAGACACCUCAGGAGGGGAUGGCUGGGGUGGGUAGCACAGGUAGGCUUGCAGGGGAAGAGAGGGGAUAUUUGUGUGUCCAAAAUCCUGGCCGGGCACGGUGGCUGACGUCUGUUAUCCCAGCACUUUAGGAGGCCAAGGUGGGCAGAUCACUUGAGGUCAGGGGUUCAAGACCAGCCUGACCAACAAGGUGAAACCCUGUCUCUACUAAAAAUACAAAAAUUAGCCAGAUGUGGUGGCAUGCACCUGUAAUCCCAGCUACUCGGGAGGCUGAGGUGGGAGAAUCACUUGAAGCCGGAGGCGGAGUUUGCGGUGAGCCGAGAUCACACCAUUGCACUCCAGCCUGGGCGAUGGAGCGAGACUCCAUCUCAAAAAAAAAAAAGAAAGAAAGAAAAGAAAAAAUAAAAUGCGGCCGGGCGCAGUGGCUCACGCCUGUAAUCCCAGCACUUUGGGAGACCGAGGUGGGCAGAUCACAAGGUCAGGAGAUCGAGACCAUCCUGGCUAACAAGGUGAAACCCCGUCUCUACUAAAAAAAUAUGAAAAAUUAGCCAGGCGUGGUGGCAGGCGCCUGUAGUCCCAGCUACUCGGGAGGCUGAGGCAGGAGAGUGGCGUGAGCCCGGGAGGCGGAGCUUGCAGUGGGCCGAGAUCGCGCCACUGCACUCCAGCCCGGGCAACUGAGCAAAACUCCAUCUCAAAAAAAAAAAGAAAGAAAGAAAAAAAAGAAAGAAAAUGCGUGUCUCUGCAUGAGGGCCUGUGUGUGGGCACCAGGCUCUGGCUUCUGGAGGUGAACAAAUCAAAGUGGACUCAGGUGUUUCCUGGACAUGAGUGUGUACUCUCAGGCGUGGGCUUAUUCCCACCCCGUGGAUGUCUAGAAUGUCGUUUCCCAGGAUCUUUUUGUUGUUUGAAGAUGUGCAAAUGUCUGGUAUGCAGAGUAGAGACAUUCAGUACAUAUUUGCAAAAUGAUGUGUUCGUGUAUUCACUCAUUUGUCCACUCAGCAAAUAUUCACCAAGUGCCAACCAGCUGUG
rnacentral:lncRNA from 10 species